GAUGAACGCUGGCGGCGUGCCUAAUACAUGCAAGUCGAGCGAACAGACGAGGAGCUUGCUCCUCUGACGUUAGCGGCGGACGGGUGAGUAACACGUGGAUAACCUACCUAUAAGACUGGGAUAACUUCGGGAAACCGGAGCUAAUACCGGAUAAUAUAUUGAACCUCAUGGUUCAAUAGUUAAAGACGGUUUUGCUGUCACUUAUAGAUGGAUCCGCGCCGCAUUAGCUAGUUGGUAAGGUAACGGCUUACCAAGGCAACGAUGCGUAGCCGACCUGAGAGGGUGAUCGGACACACUGGAACUGAGACACGGUCCAGACUCCUACGGGAGGAAGCAGUAGGGAAUCUUCCGCAAUGGGCGAAAGCCUGACGGAGCAAAGCCGCGUGAGUGAUGAAGGUCUUCGGAUCGUAAAACUCUGUUAUUAGGGAAGAACAAAUGUGUAAGUAACUAUGCACGUCUUGACGGUACCGAAUCAGAAAGCCACGGCUAACUACGUG
rnacentral:rRNA from 1 species